AUACGUAGGUGGCAAGCGUUGUCCGGAAUUAUUGGGCGUAAAGCGCGCGCAGGUGGUUCCUUAAGUCUGAUGUGAAAGCCCCCGGCUCAACCGGGGAGGGUCAUUGGAAACUGGGGAACUUGAGUGCAGAAGAGGAUAGUGGAAUUCCAAGUGUAGCGGUGAAAUGCGUAGAGAUUUGGAGGAACACCAGUGGCGAAGGCGACUGUCUGGUCUUUAACUGACACUGAGGCGCGAAAGCGGGGGGAGCAAACAGGAUUAGAUACCCUGGUAGUCCACGCCGUAAACGAUGAGUGCUAAGUGUUGGGGGGUUUCCGCCCCUCAGUGCUGCAGCUAACGCAUUAAGCACUCCGCCUGGGGAGUACGGUCGCAAGACUGAAACUCAAAUGAAUUGACGGGG
rnacentral:rRNA from 1 species